rnacentral:misc_RNA from 1 species
GCGGAGCCUCCACCUACUGUGGAUCCAGCCAAUAUCAUAGUUUUCGCAUUUAGAGUUGAUAGAAUUCCGCCAGACUCAUAAAGUUCAGCCAUGGAAGGCCCUUCGAAUGAAGAAUAAUCUUCUGGCACAUAGUAGUUCCCUUUCUCUAGGACGAGUACUUUCUGGCCUGAGCUUGCAAGCACUGCAGCUGCAACCCCUCCACCACAACCAGAACCAACAAUUACAGCAUCACAUUUGAUCUUGCAGGUGUUGUGCUCUGGAUCUUCAAUGACUUGGAGGCCUUUCUGGAUGAGAGAUGGGACAAGACUUGAGUCAUCUUCAUUUGCAAGUUCUAUGAUCCCCUUUUGAAGAGGUCUCUCCUCUUUGUU